rnacentral:lncRNA from 13 species
AUGGCAGAAAGGACACAGCUUGGGUUCUCACACCUCACUUUCCACAGCCCCUAAUGGCAGCAGUGUACAUGGAGGAGAUGCCUCCUAUGACGCCAAGACCUCCAGUUCUCACCAAUGCCUUCAUCAAAGUUGGGUAUAACUUGUCAGUGAAGAGAGGCUCAGGUAGCUCACAGUAGCAGAGCUUCAGCGUGUCUGCGAUGGCGUGUAUGUUCAUCUCACUCAUCAUCAUCGACACGUCCCUGUCAUCCAGAAAGAACAUGGAAGUGCUGCAGCCUCCUUGAGGAUCCCAAAGAUGGGGUUUGCUGCAUUGUCCAGACUGGUCUCAAACACCUGGGUUCAGUUAUCCUGCCACAGUCUCUCAUAGUGCUGGGACUACAGCUUAUGAUUUUGUUGGAACUUCAGCUAUAUGAAGAGGUUUUCGAAAGAGCUGUCAUAUAUACAUAUUAUGAAUGAUAAAAACUGAGGCUGGUAAAGAGGAAGUGAAUGUCUACAGUUAUACAACUGGAACAGGUUGAAUUCAAGCUAGAACACAAUACAAGUAAAUAGAAUUUCAGUGUUUCUUUAUGGUAGAAUAAUUGUAAGCUGCAGGAUUUUAUAAAUAUAAGUGUAAAUAUUAAUGUCAACAUUUGAACAAAUUGUAUAAACACAGGAAAAUCUAGAUUAUGUUUUAAAUAUUAUAAUAUUGAUACCUUAUACAAUUAAUAUAGUUUUAUUAACAUUAUUCUAUCACAUUACUUGAUCUUUUUAAGGAUACGGCUGCUGUCCUUAAAAUCUUUCAAGCUGGUUGAAGAGUAAGGUAUGAUUACCUGAACUAAUAGCAUUAGGUUUUCCAAAGUGUUGAAAAGAAAAAUAAGCAUACAAAGAAAAUACUGAACUAUUCAAUUGUGUCAUAUUGAAGGAAGUAAUACAUAAAUUCAUUGAAGAGGAAGAGCCGAGAGAUUUGAAAUAGCCAGAGAGGACUUGACAGAAAAGGUGACACUUAAACUUUAGAAUGCUUAGAGAAGUGAUGAUAACAUUUCUGAAUAAAAGAAGGGAAAUAAGCA